ensembl:lncRNA novel transcript
GAUGGACAACCCAGCUGGCUCAUGCUCCGUUUUGAUGAGGUUCUGGGAAGCAAGCCAGGUGAUGUGAACCUGCUGAAAUGCUGCAGGGAUUUCAGGCAAGUUAGCCUUGGCAGUGAGAACAGAUACAAAGAGAGAAGGAGAUAAGGAAGUUUCCUGAUGCCCACAAAGUUUAAAUAACGGACUCGAGGUUACCCAGCAAUAAAUGUUGAAAAAGAGUUUAAAUUAGUUGGCUUUCAGAGUUUGUGUUUUGGACAACUAUAUUCUACUUUGGACAGCACUGUAUUUUCUCAUUGUAAAAGCAGGCAGGAUGGAGUAAAAAAUAAAAGUCAAAACAAUUUGAAAACAA